rnacentral:rRNA from 1 species
CGGACGGGUGAGUAAUGCCUAGGAAUCUGCCUGGUAGUGGGGGACAACGUUUCGAAAGGAACGCUAAUACUGCAUACGUCCUACGGGAGAAAGCAGGGGACCUUCGGGCCUUGCGCUAUCAGAUGAGCCUAGGUCGGAUUAGCUAGUUGGUGAGGUAAUGGCUCACCAAGGCGACGAUCCGUAACUGGUCUGAGAGGAUGAUCAGUCACACUGGAACUGAGACACGGUCCAGACUCCUACGGGAGGCAGCAGCC